rnacentral:rRNA from 1 species
CCUACGGGAGGCAGCAGUGAGGAAUAUUGGUCAAUGGUCGGGAGACUGAACCAGCCAAGCCGCGUGAGGGAUGAAGGUACAGAGUAUCGUAAACCUCUUUUGUCAGGGAACAAAGGCGGGGACGUGUCCCCGGAUGAGUGUACCUGAAGAAAAAGCAUCGGCUAACUCCGUGCCAGCAGCCGCGGUAAUACGGAGGCUGCGAGCGUUAUCCGGAUUUAUUGGGUUUAACGGGUGCGUAGGCGGUCCGUUAAGUCAGCGGUAAAAUUGCGGGGCUCAACCCCGUCGAGCCGUUGAAACUGGCAGAUGUGAGUUGGCGAGAAGUACGCGGAAUGCGCGGUGUAGCGGUGAAAUGCAUAGAUAUCGCGCAGAACUCCGAUUGCGAAGGCAGCAUACCGGCGCGCAACUGACGCUCAUGCACGAAAGCGUGGGUAUCGAACAGGAUUAGAUACCCUUGUAGUC